rnacentral:pre_miRNA from 1 species
AGUAACUUAGAAACUACUGUUGGAUCGAGAAAUGGAUGUCCGAGAUUCGUCCACGUCCGGAUUCACUCAUGAGUUAAAAUUUUAUUAGGAGUUAAAUUUUAACUCAUGGUGACGUGGAUGAAUCUCGGGCGUCCAUUUCUCGAUCCAACGGUAGUUUCUAAGUUUCC